UACGUAGGGGGCAAGCGUUGUCCGGAAUCAUUGGGCGUAAAGAGCGUGUAGGCGGCCUGAUAAGUCGGCUGUGAAAGUCAAGGGCUCAACCCUUGAAUGCCGGCCGAUACUGUCAGGCUAGAGUCCGGAAGAGGCGAGUGGAAUUCCUGGUGUAGCGGUGAAAUGCGCAGAUAUCAGGAGGAACACCUAUGGCGAAGGCGGCUCACUGGCCCGGAACUGACGCUGAGACGCGAAAGCGUGGGGAGCAAACAGG
rnacentral:rRNA from 1 species